UACGUAGGGUGCGAGCGUUAAUCGGAAUUACUGGGCGUAAAGCGUGCGCAGGCGGUUGUGCAAGACAGGUGUGAAAUCCCCGGGCUUAACCUGGGAACUGCAUUUGUGACUGCAUGGCUAGAGUUUGGCAGAGGGGGGUAGAAUUCCACGUGUAGCAGUGAAAUGCGUAGAUAUGUGGAGGAACACCGAUGGCGAAGGCAGCCCCCUGGGUCAAGACUGACGCUCAUGCACGAAAGCGUGGGGAGCAAACAGG
rnacentral:rRNA from 1 species